UCCUCUAAGCUAUCCUCUGCUGUCCUCUAGCUGUCCUCUAGGUAUCCUCUAGCUGUCCUCUAGGUAUCUUCUAGGAUCUUCUAGCUGUCCUCUAGGUAUCCUCUAGCUGUCCUCUAGCUAUCCUCUAGCUGUCCUCUAGCUAUCCUCUAGCUGUCCUCUAGGUAUCUUAGGUAUCUUCUAGCUGUCCUCUACGUAUCCUCUAGCUGUCCUCUAGCUAUCCUCUAGCUGUCCUCUAGGUAUCCUCUAGCUGUCCUCUAGGUAUCCUCUAGC